rnacentral:rRNA from 1 species
GACGGAGGGGGCUAGCGUUAUUCGGAAUUACUGGGCUUAAAGGGUGCGUAGGCGGCGCGGAAAGUUGGGUGUGAAAUCCCUCGGCUCAACCGAGGAACUGCGCCCAAAACUACCGUGCUCGAGGAAGAUAGAGGUGAGCGGAACUCACGGUGGAGCGGUGAAAUGCGUUGAUAUCGUGAGGAACACCGGUGGCGAAGGCGGCGUUCUGGACUGUUUCUGACACUGAGGAACGAAAGCCAGGGGAGCAAACGGG